rnacentral:rRNA from 1 species
CUAUGAAUUUUUUUCUGGUCUCAGAUUGACCGCAGCGGCUGCCUAACACUUCCAAUGUCAAGCGGUGCACAGAGAGAGCUGCUUUCUCGCUGACGAGCUGCGGACGGGUGAGUAUGUAUGGGAUCGUGCCCGAGUAGACGGGGAUAUCUACUGGAACGAGUGGCCUAAUACCGCAUACUCUCUCACGGAGCGAAAGCAGGGGGAUCGUCAAGUACCUCGUCGACUAUCGGAUGCGAGCCGAUAUGCGGAUUAGCUAGUAUGGUGGGGUAAUAGCUCUACCCUAGGCGACGAUCCCGUAGCUUGUUUUGAGAGGAUCGAUCAGGCACACUGGGGACUGAGACACGGGCCCAGACUCCUUACGGGGAGGGCAGCAGUGGGGGAAAUAUUGCGACAAAUGGGCGGCAAAGCCCUGAUGCAGCCCAUGCCCGCGUGUAGUGAAUGAAGGGCCUUCGGUUUGUAAAAGCACUUCUGUCAGGGAGGAAAGCGACUGAUGCUAAAUAUCAUCAACGAGAUGACGGUACCGACAGAAAUAAGCACCGGGCUAAAUUACGUGCCAGCAGCCGCGGUAAAUACGGUAGGGGUGCAAAGCGUUUAAUCGGAAUUUACUGGGGCGUAAGCGCACGCAGGCGGUUUAGGAAAGAAAGAUGUGAAAAUCCCCAGGGCUCACCCUGGGAAUGGCCAUUAUUAACUGGUCAGCUAGAGUAUGUCAGAGGGGGGGUAGAAUUUCCACGUGUAGCAGUGAAAUGCGUAGAGAUUGGAGGAAUACCGAUGGCGAAGGCAGCCCCCGGACAUAAUACUGACGCUCAGGUACGAAAGCGUGGGAGCAAACAGGAUUAGAUACCCUGGUAGUCCACGCCGUAAAACGAGUCAACUAGCUGUUGUGGCCGUUAGGCAGUUAGUAGCGCAGCUAACGCGUGAAG